rnacentral:rRNA from 1 species
GAGGAAGGCGGGCGGCGUGCCUAAUACAUGCAAGUCGCGCGAACAGACGAGGAGCUUGCUCCUCUGACGUUAGCGGCGGACGGGUGAGUAACACGUGGAUAACCUACCUAUAAGACUGGGAUAACUUCGGGAAACCGGAGCUAAUACCGGAUAAUAUAUUGAACCGCAUGGUUCAAUAGUGAAAGACGGUUUUGCUGUCACUUAUAGAUGGAUCCGCGCCGCAUUAGCUAGUUGGUAAGGUAACGGCUUACCAAGGCAACGAUGCGUAGCCGACCUGAGAGGGUGAUCGGCCACACUGGAACUGAGACACGGUCCAGACUCCUACGGGAGGCAGCAGUAGGGAAUCUUCCGCAAUGGGCGAAAGCCUGACGGAGCAACGCCGCGUGAGUGAUGAAGGUCUUCGGAUCGUAAAACUCUGUUAUUAGGGAAGAACAAAUGUGUAAGUAACUAUGCACGUCUUGACGGUACCUAAUCAGAAAGCCACGGCUAACUACGUG